CCCUUAGAUGUUCUGGGCUGCACGCGCGCUACACUGAUGCGCUCAACGAGUUUUAACCUUGCCUGGAAAGGUUGGGUAAUCUUUUUAAAACGCGUCGUGAUGGGGAUAGAUUAUUGCAAUUAUUAAUCUUCAACGAGGAAUGCCUAGUAAGCGCAAGUCAUCAGCUUGCGUUGAUUACGUCCCUGCCCUUUGUACACACCGCCCGUCGCUCCUACCGAUUGAAUGGUCCGGUGAAGCGUUCGGACCGUGGCCUUUGGACGGUUCGCCGUCUGUUGGCUGCGGGAAGUUCGUUAAACCUUAUCAUUUAGAGGAAGGAGAAGUCGUAACA
rnacentral:rRNA from 1 species